AUUGAACGCUGGCGGCGUGCUUAACACAUGCAAGUCGAGCGGUAACAGGCGUAGCAAUACGUGCUGACGAGCGGCGAACGGGUGCGUAAUACAUGGGAAUCUGCCCUUUAGUGGGGAAUAACCCGGCGAAAGCCGGGCUAAUGCCGCAUGAGAUCUUCGGAUGAAAGCGGGGGAUCGUAAGACCUCGCGCUGAUGGAUGAGCCCAUGUCGGAUUAGCAGUUGGUGAGGUAACGGCUCACCAAGGCGACGAUCCGUAGCUGGUCUGAGAGGACGGCCAGCCACACUGGGACUGAGACACGGCCCAGACUCCUACGGGAGGCAGCAGUGGGAAUAUUGGACAAUGGGGAAACCCUGAUCCAGCGACGCCGCGUGUGUGAAGAAGGCC
rnacentral:rRNA from 1 species